rnacentral:rRNA from 1 species
AACGUAGGUACCGAGCGUUAUCCGGAUUCACUGGGCGUAAAGCGCGUGCAGGUGGUAUGGUAAGUCGGGCAUGAAAACUCUUGGCUCAACUGAGAGACGCUGUCCGAUACUGCCGAACUUGAGGGUGUAAGAGGGAGGUGGAAUUCCGCAUGUAGUGGUGAAAUGCGUAGAUAUGCGGAGGAACACCAGUGGCGAAGGCGGCCUCCUGGUACACUCCUGACACUCAAACGCGAAAGCUAGGGGAGCGAACGGG